GGGGGGGUUUCCAUGGCAACACACGGUGGAUGGCAGGGAGGGGCGGUGCAGAGGUAACCAUGGUAACAGUGACGAGUAGGAGGGUUUUCUAUCCUCUGAUCUGCGGACAGCUUAACACACACACAUUUACAUCACACACACACAGACAAAUACACAGAAAAAAAAAAAAAAAAAAAAACAC